rnacentral:rRNA from 1 species
UACGUAGGGUGCGAGCGUUAAUCGGAAUUACUGGGCGUAAAGCGUGCGCAGGCGGUUCGUUGUGUCGGCGGUGAAAGCCCCGGGCUUAACCUGGGAAUGGCCGUUGAAACUGGCGAACUGGAGUGUGGCAGAGGGGGGUGGAAUUCCGCGUGUAGCAGUGAAAUGCGUAGAGAUGCGGAGGAACACCGAUGGCGAAGGCAGCCCCCUGGGUUAACACUGACGCUCAGGCACGAAAGCGUGGGGGGCAAACAGG